rnacentral:lncRNA from 1 species
CUCAAGAGUUUCAAAAUAUCAUAACCUCAAAUUAAAUUAGUUCUCAAAUAAUAUUACACCAAAAAUAUAUUACUACUAAGAUCUCUUAAUUAAUCACCAUACCAAACUCCAAAUCAUAUAUUCUACUAUCUGAAUAAGCAAACUAUAGCUUUCAAAAUCUCUUAAAGAUUCAUCACUUAAUAUCUAAUCAUUCAAUAAAUCAAUCAUUCUCUUAGUGCAAACCUUAACCCAACAAAUUCCAAGAUCUCCUCAUACUAUCACUAAGAAAGUUCAUAGAAUAUAACUCCAACAUCCUACUAGAAAAUAGCCACAAAUUUGAUCAGUAAUUCCAAAUGAUUAAUCUAAUUAACUCAAAUAUCAACGACUCAAAUUUAUAAAAGAUCCUCUAUACUUAAUAAUUUUCAUUUUAUCAUAGUAUGCCAUCAAUACACAAACCUCAAAUUAUCCACAAGCUUAACGUAAAUCAAUUAAAACUUAACUCUAAUCAAAUCCUCAAUUCAACGAUCAUAAUAAUUGUCACAAAAAAAAACAACUCUAAAAGAUUAAUUUUCCAAAAUCAAAUACUCGUCGAUAUAUACAAAUACUCACACCAUAAUCAAAUCUCAUAUAAGAUCACUCCUUAUUUAUACAAAGUAUAACUUUAUUCACCUCAAUGAUUAAAUCACAAUUCUUAACUAAUAUCAUUACUCAAUCACCUUAACAAAUUAUUCCACUUUCCUCAAAUCAACUACAAAUCGAAAAGAAAUCGACAGUUAGUCAAAAUAGAGACCAACCACACAAAGAACCAAAAUCAAACCAAACUCAUAUGUCUACCCAAUGAUUUACCCACAACUCACAGGUCAAACCUAAAUAGGUUUUUCUACAAGAAAGAACCUAAGCUCUGAUACCA